UACGUAGGUGGCAAGCGUUGUUCGGAAUUACUGGGCGUAAAGCGCGCGUAGGCGGCUCUUCAAGUCAGGCGUGAAAGCCCCGGGCUUAACUCGGGAACUGCGCUUGAUACUGUCGAGCUAGAGUGUGGAAGGGGCGAUUGGAAUUCCGUGUGUAGCGGUGAAAUGCGUAGAUAUACGGAGGAACACCAGGGGCGAAGGCGGAUCGCUGGGCCAACACUGACGCUGAUGCGCGAAAGCUAGGGGAGCAAACAGG
rnacentral:rRNA from 1 species